UGAGGCCGGAAGGUGGGCGGUGCGCGUCGCGGGCCGCGAAACAUGGCCGGCGUGGGGCUGGGCGCCUGUGGCGGCGCUGGAGGCUUCGAGGACGAGCGAGACGCCGGAGCGCUCAGGGCGGCCGCGGACGUGUUCGCGAAGCUGAAGGAUGUCAACUGCCCUUUGCUGGAGGGCCUCCAUAUCUCAGAACCCACGACCAUUUUGGAACUGCUCUGCAGCCCCUCCAAGUACCGCCUGGAGAUCCUGGAGUGGCUGUGUACCCGGGUCUGUCCCUCUUGGCAGGACAAGUCCGACUCACUGAAGAUGGCCCCAGCUGAGGUGAAGAUCCAAGAGAUGGUGAAGCUGGGCCACGAGCUAAUGCUGUGCGGGCUGGAUGACCACGAGCUCCUGAAGGGCCGGGCCUGUGCCCAGAAGCAGCUGCAGUACUUGGACCAGUUGAUAGAUGCGGUGCGGAGCCAGACCUUCACGUACACCGGCCACACCAGUGUGACUGAGUGCUUUGACGACACUGGGGAGAAGAACGAGGCCUUGCUGGGAGAUCUCUUCUCCAGCCCCCACCUGCAGUCGCUUCUGAGUCCCACGUGUGACCCGUGGCCCUUGAACAUGCAAAGUGAUGAGUGGUCCAGCGCCAGCCCCGCUGAGGAUGUGGAGGAGAGGAAGGUAGCAGAGCUGGCCAGGCAGCUGCAGGAGAGUGCCAACCAGCUGCGGACGCUUCGGGCGGAGGGUGCGCCGCUGGCAGCUGAGAGCAGGAUCGACUCCAGCACCCUGGCCCAGAAGCUGCGCCUGGUUGUCUCGGACUUCCACCAGCUCGUGGUGGCUUUCCUGCAAGUGUACGAUGAUGAGCUGCGUGUGUGCUGCCAGCGCUCCAGCCCCUUCCUGCACCCGUGUGGCCCCGUCGUCCAAGCCGUCUACCAGAUGCUGACUUCCUGCAGCCAGCUCUUGAAAGCCAUCAUGGAGGUUGCUGACACCUCAGUGCAAGCCAUGGAGAUGGUGAAGCAGCAGCAGAGCCAGCAGAUCUGUUGGGGCGGCAGCAGCUACAUGAUGAGUCUAGCGGUUGAGGUUGCUUGAUGUGCUUUGUUGAAGUGUCGUGGAAGUUCUUGCUCCUCCGUUGAAGUGCUGUUCUCUCCUCACGAUGCGCGGCCCUGUCUCCUUGUGGGGUUUGUUGCAGGUCAAUCUCGUCAGUAGGAAAUGUGCUGCUCAGGCCUCCAGCCUCCUUGCCGCUUCUGAGUGUCACUGUGUGCGGACUCCAGCCCCGUGUGUGGAUGCCCACCAAUGCGGAUUCCCAGUGGCUGCGCACUUACCUUUCUCCGGGACAGAAGACGGGCCUCGGCCCCCUCACCCCAGCACUGUGGCCUGCCUGGCCUGCUCUCACUGUUCUUGCCGUCGUCUGAGGCCUUGUCUGGGUCUGAGCUCGUCUGGUGGCCAGAUGAAGGACACGUCUGACUUGUGGGUACUGUGUUCCGUGGCACUUAGAACGUGUUGCCCCACCGUCUUGCAGCCUCUUGAACUCAGAGGCCGUGCCCCCACCCUGCUGUGGUGCCCGGACUCUCAGGCUCUGGCUCCGCUUGGCUCGGCCGUGUCUUCCUAGCAGCCCCCAGCUGCGCCCACUGGUCGCGUCUUCGUGAACACUGCAGGGGCCCUGUCCUGCGGCCCGUGGCCUCCAGUGCUGAAUGUCCUCUAGCAUUUCUCCUUGACUGCCAGCCCUGGGACUCUCCCGCGUGUGUGUGGUUGCCAGUAACGAGAUGCGUUCACCACUCAGUGAUCAGUAAUACCCUGCACGUGGGCCACCUCACAUGUCGUCACGGCCUCUGCUCUGCUCUGCUCUGCUGCCAAGAGGCUGCCGAUCCCCUCCUCAUCUCGGCCCCCCUCGGUCUCCCUCCUCCCUCCCUGAGGGCAGAUCCGGGGCCUGGCUCUGCAGGGCUCCUCAGUCCCCUGUGGAAGGGGAGCUCGGCUUUGGGGUGACUUCCCUCCAGUGCAAAAGGAAGCUGACCGCUCCCCUGGCAGUCAGCAGCCGCAUGCUGGUUGUGUGUACCCACGUCUGAAGGCAGGGUGUGCCUGCGGCAUCCGCUAGACAGCUUGUCCUGUCCUCAUCCGUCAUCACGACGGGGUGGCCCUGCGGUCCAGUGAUCUCCCCAGUGUCCAGAGCCACUGGUGCCACAAAAGCUGCAUCUGACAGGGCCGCCAGCCUGUGAGUGAGCACUGUGGGGACGGGUACCCACCACAGACAGACUGCAGCUUUUCUGGAGUCCAGAGAGGGCUGGUGACCUUAGGCCAAAAGAAGCAGAUGGAGCAAGCUGCGGCCACAAGGCCGCCCUGAGCUCUGCCUGGCAGAGGCACGGUGGCCUGGCAGCCCAGGAGGGUGACAGGGAGCAGCUAGCUGGGGCAGGCCCUCCCUUGCUCCACUGUGAAGCCACCGCCAAGAUGGAAGAGCUGACCCAGAAGUACAAGGUCGUCAGGGACAGGCUGCCCAGGGCCCCGACCAGUCAGCGGCUCUGUGGCCGGCAGCUCGAGGAGCCGGCCUCUGCCUCCGUGUCAGCCUUGGUGCCUGGGGGAGCGGUGGGGGAGGGGGCCGAGGGGAACAGGACCGUGUGAACCCAGAGAGAGGAAACCAUGCUGUCACAAGUUG